UAAAGCUAAUCUGAGCAGGGUAAGCCGGCCCCUAAGCCGAGGCCGAAAGGCGUAGGCGAUGGGAACCACGUUAAUAUUCGUGGGCCAGAUGGAAGUGACGGAUUGCAAAGAUUGUUCCUCCUUAUCGGAUUGGAGGGGCCGCUGAUCAGUUCCUGGAAAUAGCUCCAUCAUCAGACCGUACCCUAAACCGACACAGGUGGACUGGUAGAGCAUACCAAGGCGCUUGAGAGAACUAUGCUGAAG
rnacentral:rRNA from 1 species